GUGGGCUUGUGUGAGUGUGUUUGUGCAUAAGUAUGCAAAUGUGCUGCCCAGCCUUGGGUGUGUGUGUGCCUGGGGUUACGUAUGUGAGUGUAUGUGAGUGUGUACACAUGGCUAUGCUUAUGUUAGUGCAUGUGGAUACAUAGGGGUGGACACUUGUGCAUAUGGAUAUGUGUGUACACGCCCGAGGGUAUGCGUGCUUGCACGUGUGUGAGGGAGUGUGUCUGCAUGUGCCUAGGUAUGUGUGUACCUGUCACUGUGUAUGAGUGUGCUGUGUGUGUGUGUGUGUGUGUGUGAAGCCUGCUCUCUGGCUCUGCUCGGGUUGUGAAGUGCUGCUAACCUUGCUGCCUUCUUGCAACAUGCAAGUAGCUCCUUCAGGAUCUAGCACAGGCCUCUUGCUUUCAGUUUUAUUCUGUUUUGCAGAAAAAUUGGGAAGUGAAUUGCGGGUAUAGCAGCAGUGGUGCAGGGAGUUCAUCUUGGUUCUAGGAGUCUCCAAGCUGGAAGCAUCUCUCUGCCCACCCUGAUUCUCCCUGGGGACUGCUGACUGCUCGUGGCUCCGCUGUCCCUGCCCCGGGGCCGCCCCACUUCCAGACUCUGCACUAUGGCUGGCAGCUUGGCUGGCGCAGUGCUCUUGGCUGAGCUGAGCUGACCCAGUUCUGAUGACUGAUUGCCAACCAGCCCAGGCUGCUGCAACCAGGCAGCCGCUCGAAUCCUACUUUUGACUGGCGGUGCAAGAACAUUUGCUAUGGCCACGCUGAGUUCUGACUCCUCUGAUGACGGCAAGAUUGUCCUAUGUCAGACUCACGGUGUAGGUGUAGGUGUAGGUGUAGGUGUGUGUGUGUGUGUGUGUGUGUGUGUGUGCAUGCACAUAUAUUAUUGUUGUCUUUUUGUUGCCAAUUUGAGGUGUUGCUAACUUCAUACUUGAAGUCUCAGGGUGCGGGGCAGGUGGCUGUCUUUCUUUCUGCAGGUCAUGAGCACCUGCCCCAGUCCUGGCUGUGGGGCUGUGGUCUUCCGGGUCGCGGACUGGCUGAGGGUGGCCCCUAGGAUGGACUUAGCACCCCACCUUCUCAUGUUCCAGGGGCGGCAGGCAGAAGAGCAAACCAGCAUGCUGGGCUGUGGUGGGAGAGGGGGACCCAGCUGUGCAGAAGGUAACCAGUGCCGGCACUGGCAGAUGAACCCAACAAAGAGUUAGUCAUUUUAUCUCGGUCUGGGAGAGACAGUGGGCUCAACAGUGCUUUCGUUCCCCACAGUGAGUUUACAUCAUGCUUUGAAAAAGACAUAUUUGUUGAUGACCAGUUUUGAGGAAAAAGCAGAAAUUGUUAGAGGGCCCCACUGUGCUUUGGUUAGGUAUUCUGAACAUUUGUGGGCUCACUCAGACCACAACAGACAUUUCGCUGCCUUCUACCCUUCCUUUCAUUCCUACUACAGAGGCUUUGCCGUCUUCUACCUUGAUUUGGGCCACAAAUAUCAUGGAAAAGCUAAAUGGUGUGCACACCUAACAGGAAGGCUAGACAAGAUUGUGCAGAGCAGCCUGGGCAGGCAUCCAGCUUACACCGUGAGGGCAACCCGGAGGCCCCUCCGCUCCACUCUGACUAGAGCUGGCGGGAGUGCCAGGGGCUGACGCCCCGGGCCUCCAGUGAGGUCCCAGAUGUGGGUCACUGUGCAGGACUUGUGUGCAAAGACCCACACUGGAAACACAGUGUCCAGAGGUGACAGGAGCAUGUGGCGGUCACUUACUUUGCUCUACAGGUUUCUUGUGCUCAAAGAUGUGGGGUUGACCUGGGGCCCCAGCUCUUCUUACUCCAUUCCCAGGUUUCCACAAACAUUUUCUCCCCACACAAAAGGUAUGCUCCCGGCCCCCUUGCUGCCCUGCUUUCUCCCGCUCUCGUUCUCUCUUCCUUUCUUCUAAAAAAACUUUAAAAAUGUUGUCUUCAAUUGACAGAUUGUAACUGUAUGUAUGUAAAGAGUUCCAUGUAUUGUUUUGCUAUAUGUUUACACUGCAGAAUGAUUAAAUCAAGAAAAUGAACAAGUUCAUCACCCGGCACACUUAUCUUUCUAUGGUGAAAACAUUUAAAAGCUACUGUUCUAGCAAUUUUGAAAAGUACAGUGCAUUGCUCUUUGUCCUGGUCACCACUCUGUGCAGUAAGUCAGGAACGCUUACUAAGAAAGCUUCUUUCGCUGACUGGAACUGUACACCCUGUGCUCAGCUUCCCCCUUUCCCUCAGCCCCUGGGAAACACCACCUGCUCCGUUCCUACGAGUUCAACUUCUAAAAUCUCCACAGUUAAAUUUUAAACAACGCGAUUGGCAGUGAGGUUGCACGGACAGCACACACGCUGUCGCCCUGCUUCCCUCUUGUGCAACCUCCAGCAACGACCAAAACGAAGAAGCUGCCCUGGGGGCUCAGCUCCAGACCUUGCUGGAUUCCGUGGUUUUUCUACUGGUGUCCUCCCUGUUCCGGGACGGCCUGCGGUCCACCCUGCACACAGCUGUCCUGCUCCUUGGUGUCUUCAGCUGACAGCCCAGUCUCUCCUCAUCAGAGACGCUCUUGGCACUUUCUAGAGUACUGGUCAGGUACUUUAAAAACGCCCUCAAUUAUGAGAUUGCCUGACAUUUCCUUGUGAUUAGAUGGAGGACGUGCAUUUCCCAACCCAUUCCUAGUCUGCACCUGUUUCCUAGUCUGCAUUUUGUGAACCCUGAGACAUUCACUUGCCUUUCCUUGGGCCACCCCAAGGGAAACGUGCCCCUUUGGGUGACCUGGGGAUGGUGGCCACCAGUGGGCCCUGACUGAGCCCUUCCCAGCUCCAGUGACCCUGUCCUCUGGCGCCUUCCUUCUGCACACACAGGGCUCGGCCGUCACUUACAAUCUUUCAUGUCUAAGGCUACAGUCUCGACCUCCUCUCCUAAAGGCAAGUUCUUCCUCUUGUACCGUUGUUAAUUGGCUCUUUCCAAACGUGACGUUUUCUGCAUCCGGACCUCUGCUUUCACAUUUUCCCAUCUUCUUCCUGCUUUCCUCCAGAGCUUGUUUUGAGCGUGUCAUGACAAACUGAAGGAGGCGCUCAGCCCUACAGCUCCCUCGGGACACUGAGCUGCCCCUCUAGCCAGCCGCUGCCAGAUGAGUGUUAGUACUGCUGACACCAGCCUUUUUCUGGUCAGUGCUCUCACUGGCAAAGAGUUGACCUUGUGUUCUAUUUUUAUUUCCCUGCAUGAAUGCACACCUUUUGCUGUUUGUUUUGUCUUAAGAAAUCAUGACCCUGUAACUGGUCCUGUGGAAAGAAGAGAAAUUACCUCACCUCAGCUGACAGCCAACACCCUAGGACUUUCCACGAUCCGUUUUUAAGCAGCUUCUAACCCUAAGUGCUUCCUCCUUGCCCAAGUUAUCAAGUCUGUCUCUGCUAUGCACCCACCAAAAGGUCAGACAGCCCUGUGAGCUCAACACCAGGUCCUCCCUGGCCUCCAGGUACCUGGCCUCCACGUACUUGCAUUCUUAUUCAGGCUUCUUUCUUCCUCCCCACCUUCCAGAGCAGGUCUGUUUUGUGCCUGAGCCUUGUGCUCCAUCUGGGGCUCUGUCUCACUCUGCCAACUUCCUCUGUGGCUCUUCCUGCAUCAGAAGCCACUUCCUCUGUCCCAUGGCCCUUCUUCCAGUGACAAAGAUGGCGGCAUCUCUUUAUUGCAGAGAAUGUUCCCAGCCUGCCAUACUCACUUCUCUCCUGACCACAGUUCUGCGAAGAACAAACGCACGAUCCUCCUCCAGGGCCCCAUUUCUUUUCAUUCCUCACAGAAAAAUCUGGCUUUGUUCCCUCUGUGCCAUUGGAACUCUGCAAUGCAGCUGCUGCAGGUCACAGGUCUUUAAUUCUGCUCAGCCUGAUGGUAGCAUCUGCUCUAGCUCUCAGAUGCACCUCCCCCAGGUUUGCUUCUGUGACAGCUCACUGAUGACUCUGCCUCCUUUGAGAGUUUAGAUCAUGUGUCAUAGUCUUACACCUAACUGUCAUCCAUCCUGUUCUCUUCCUUUCUCCAGUUCCCUCUGGCCCUUCAUCACUUUUUAUGGCUUUGACCAUUGCUGUGAUGCAAAGAACUCACAAUCUGUCUUUCUGGUCUUGCUGUCCCUGCUAGGCCCUCAGCUCUCAGCCCCAGACUGCAUGUUAGGAGCAGAAGCAUCACUUCCCAUUCUUCCUGUUCCUUCUUCCGGCUCUCUCUCCAGGAAGACGCUGAGCCCAGGUCAGCGUGCUGGUGUUUUUAUGAGAUGUUCUUUCCACCACCAGUUCCAUGAUCCAUGAUACUCUAGGGGCUCUGAACUCCCAACUUUUGCAGCACUUUUUGCAGUCAUGGCUUUGUUUUUCUCUUUUUGUAAUCUUUUCCUUGUACUUUGGCUUUUAUUUUUCAUCAGGGAGCCCCUGUUUUCCAUUCUCAGUAACCCAUUCUCGUUUUCAUGCUGCACGUCUCCCUGGUCUUUUGGUCAGUAUCAGUACUGCCCAAGUUCUGGCAGAGCUUCCCUAGCCUCUGGUCCAGUGCAGAUCAUUCUGCUGCGCUCUUGAUCAGAGUGGUCAUUCCAUCAAGGUGGACUCCAGAACCUCAGAUGCAGUGGAUUCAAACGGAAUCAUUUUGUUCCCCUCUAAAACUCUCCUUAAGAUUCCCUCAGUUAGGGAAUGCCGUGGAGCCAGAAAAUAGGAGUUCUCCAAAACUCUCUUCAUUCUCUCAUUGUGAUUGUUCACUGUGUUAUGUCAGCUUGACUAGAGGAAGAACUGACUAGCAGAUUAGUAAAGCUUUGGAUGUUUUGGAUGAUUGACAGGUAGGCCAGCAAAUUGAGGAGGGGAGACCCACCCCAGACAUGGGAAUAAAAAGGGAAAGAAGGAAGUCUUCCCUUUUGCUUCUUUGGAGCAGCUCUGGUCUUCACCAUUGUUUCUGGAUGUUUGUCUCCAUUUCCUUCAGAUUUCCAGUGCUGACUCUUCAGCCCUCCAACACACUUUGCAACAGAGACUCACAUCACUGGCACUGCAGUGAGCUCCAGACCUUCGAUGUUGGACUGGAUCCUUGGGUUCUCCAGCACACAGAUUGGCAUUUUGCAUUCUUUCUCCCACCGAGUCUGUAGGCAGCCAUUUUAAGCUUACAUAGCAAAUCCUGUAUAUAAUCUUAUAUACAUUUUAUACUAAAUCUGUUCCUCUAGUGAGCUCUGACUGAUAUACUCAUCCCAAAGAGGGUUCUCCAUGUCACCUUCUCAGGAGCUCUUGAGCUUGUCCCUUCUUCACCUCUGGUGCCAUUGCCACAGUUCAGCUUCUUAUCCAGUAGCCUCUUAAUUUCCCUGCUCCAAUUCUUUUCUUUCUGUAUCACAAUCAUUCCACAAAUGCCAGAUAAGAAUUUUCUAAAAUGUCAAUCCUCUCUGGUUCUUCUUCUACUAGAAUCUUUCAGUGGGACUCUCCAUCUGCUUCAGAAUGACAUUUAAGUUUAUUAAUAUGGUAUGUAUUAGUCAGCUAAUGUCACAGUAAUACUCAGUAACAAACAUCCCCAAAUAUAGUGCUUUGCAGUGACAAGCCUUUGUUCUGAUAUUCACUUGACUGUUGGUUGACUGUGGUUCAGGCUGCAGGACUGCUGGGCUGGGCUCUAAACUGCAGUUGGGGUUAGAAUCUACUUGCUAUCAAGAUGACUAGAGUAGAUGGGAGUAAUGAGAACGUGAGAUGCCUCUUGAAGGUGUUGUCUGGAACUGGCUACCACAAAUUCUGUCCACUUCUAUUGGCCAGAGAGAGCCCCAUGGAGUCCAUCACCACUGGGGCAGCAGCAUAUACUCUUCCAUCCUCUAUCCCUGCAAGACCCCAGGACUCAUGCAGAGGAAUAGAAACCAGAUGCAGGGAGACUGUGAGAACCAAGGAGAUUGUGGCUCCCCUCGCACAGGUGGCAAGGGGCAUGUCCAGGCUCUGCUCCCUGUGCAGACCCACCCUCCCCAGUCUUCAGCCUUCCUCUCAUGCUGCAUCCCACUUUGCCACUUGAUGGUUGCCUGUGUGCUGGAAGUGCCUUCCUUCCCUCAUGCUUCCCCGGAUGCCCGGGUCUGUGCACAGAAAGACUUUCACCCCCUGCACCUGGGGGUUCCUGAGACUGCAGGCCCGGCAGCCUCGGAGUGUGGCUGGCCAGGUGUCCCCGGCUCCUGCCCUUCCACACUGCUGUCACUGCUCUCUGCACACUUGUUUUUCCUAUUUCUUUUUAGUUUUCCCUCCCACGUUUCUUCUUAGUGCAUACUGGCUAUGCAGAUUAAAAUCUGGUUGUACAGAUUUCACCCUGGCAAACUUGCAGAUAACAUAACACAUUUUAUUUGUUCCCCUGCCCAGGCUCCCUUGCCUCGGCCCCUCCUAGUUUCAAAUAUUUUGGGGGGCUUCAUGCGCAUAAUGCAUUUGGCCUUGUACUGCCACUGUCACCCAUCUUCCCCCUUCUUCUGUUCCUCUUGUCUAAUAAUAGCCUCCCUUCCACUUUCUUGUCAUUUUUUUAAGAUUCUAUAUAUCACAGGGAGAAGAUAUCAUGUUUGCCUCUCGGAGUUUGGUUUAUUUUGCUCAACAUGAUCAUCUAGAUCCAUUCAAUUCUCUGCAAUUGACAACAUUUCAUUCUCUUUAUGGCCGAAUAAUACUCCACUGUAUAAUAUACGACAUUUUCACUAUUCAUCUUUUGAUGGGCACUCAGGGUCACGCCAUAUUGGGGCUACUGUACACUGUGCUGCAACAAACAUGACACGCAUGUGUCCCCGAGCGUCAAAUUUCACUAGACGCAAAGACCAAAUACUUUGCCGCACCCUCCUCCCAAGAUGAUCAUGGUCCCCUGCUGUAAGAGUAACAAAUAACCUGUUUGGCCACAGGUGUGUUCAUGGUGACCCUUGGCUGGAGAUACUGACAGCACUUCACAGAAAGCCCUCACACAACAGUGACCUCAGCCAUAACGGUGGAGCCUGGAGGACUUCAAGGACCACUGCUUGGCCACAGUCAGUACGUGGCUCUUACCACCAAGAGCAACUCAUGGUCCAAGAGGCUGCUACAGUGCCAGCCAUCAACUCUAUAUGCUGUACAGCAAGAAGGGGAAUAGGGAGAAGGGGAGAAGGAUGCUAGUCUCAAUUUUAUCAACCCUUUUUAAGAAAAUGUCCCUGAAAUCUUCCAUAUUCGGAGCACGGCUCAGUCCCGUGGCCAGGCCUUGUUGCAAGGGAUGAUGGGAAAUGUAGUCUUUGAGCUGGGAGUACUGCUGUGCCAGGAAAGUAAGGAUUCUGUUACCAACAGACGAGCAAGAAAGACACAUUGUUGGGCUGUUGCCACCUCUACCUCCAAGUACUAGUGCGUCAGCUUCUUCGAGGGCCACGGGACCCUUCUGGGAUUAAAAUUGCGUGUGGCUUCUAAGCGCUCCUGGGGGUCAAGUGUCCACACUUCCCCAAGGGCUCUUCGAGGGAGCGUCUGGUCCCUGUGUCUGCGUGUCACCAGGCCUGGGGCAGCUCUGGCCAGGCGGUCCUUCUUGCCCUGGGGUGAGGACGCGCAUGUUUCCUGUGGUGUCUUCACCGGAGCUUCCUCCCCAGCUCCGGGCCACUGAGUUCUCAGUGCUCACUGAGCCAGGCAGCCUUGCUGAGCCGGGCACUGGGGACGCAGCAUCGGACAGCAAGGUCCCGUUCCCAUGGUGCCUUGCUCUGGGAGGAAGGGGUCUCCCUGAAGACCUGGGGAAAGCGUUCCUUGCGGCCGGGUGGGUGGGAUGGGGCCAGGAGGGGAGGGGAGGUCAGAGCUCCAGGGGCCCAAGGCCCGGGGGAGGGACCACUUCAGGGUCAGUGACUGGCGUCAGAUGGCACCAGUCAGAUCCACGCCCCUCUGCACCUGUGACCCUCCAGCCCCCCUUCCCCAUCCUGAACGGGGAAGGGAAGCGAGGGCAGCAGCAGCAGGGCACAGUGUCAGGCAGGGUACCUUGGGAAGCCCCAGAGAAAGCGACCACGGAGUGGGGCCUCGAAGGAGCGAAGGGCGAGGACCCUGUGCGGGGCUGGGAAGAGCACUCCAAGCUAGGGCAGAGGCUGUGCAGGCCAGAGGCAGGCACUUGAUGAAUCAUUUCACUGGAGCAGAGAGCGAGGGAGUGGAGAUGAAGUCUGGGAGCUGAUAGGAGCCAAGUUCACAGGGCCUUAGAGGGCGGAGUCAGGACUUCCGUGAGACAGGAUAGCCGACAACGUGUGCGUGGCGAGAUCUGACUGUGUCUUCUUGUGCCCUCUCUGGUUAACUUUAGUUCUUGCCAGACAAAAAUACUUGAUAAAGCUGAAAUGAAAUUUUGAGAUUGAA